GAGUUUGAUCUUGGCUCAGGAUGAACGCCGGCGGUGUGCCUAAUACAUGCAAGUCGUACGCACUGGCCCAACUGAUUGAUGGUGCUUGCACCUGAUUGACGAUGGAUCACCAGUGAGUGGCGGACGGGUGAGUAACACGUAGGUAACCUGCCCCGGAGCGGGGGAUAACAUUUGGAAACAGAUGCUAAUACCGCAUAACAACAAAGGCCACAUGGCUUUUGUUUGAAAGAUGGCUUUGGCCAUCACUCUGGGAUGGACCUGCGGUGCAUUAGCUAGUUGGUAAGGUAACGGCUUACCAAGGCGAUGAUGCAUAGCCGAGUUGAGAGACUGAUCGGCCACAAUGGAACUGAGACACGGUCCAUACUCCUACGGGAGGCAGCAGUAGGGAAUCUUCCACAAUGGGCGCAAGCCUGAUGGAGCAACACCGCGUGAGUGAAGAAGGGUUUCGGCUCGUAAAGCUCUGUUGUUGGAGAAGAACGUGCGUGAGAGU
rnacentral:rRNA from 1 species